AUUGAACGCUGGCGGCAUGCCUUACACAUGCAAGUCGAACGGCAGCACGGGAGUAAUCCUGGUGGCGAGUGGCGAACGGGUGAGUAAUGUAUCGGAACGUGCCCAGUCGUGGGGGAUAACGCAGCGAAAGCUGUGCUAAUACCGCAUACGAUCUAUGGAUGAAAGCGGGGGAUCGCAAGACCUCGCGCGACUGGAGCGGCCGAUAUCAGAUUAGCUAGUUGGUGGGGUAAAGGCUCACCAAGGCGACGAUCUGUAGCUGGUCUGAGAGGACGUACAGACACACUGAGACUGAGACACGGUCCAGACUCCUACGGGAGGCAGCAGUGGGGAAUUUUGGACAAUGGGCGCAAGCCUGAUCCAGCAAUGCCGCGUGCAGGAUGAAGGCCUUCGGGUUGUAAACUGCUUUUGUACGGAGCGAAAAGGCUCUCUCUAAUACAGGGGGCUCAUGACGGUACCGUAAGAAUAAGCACCGGCUAACUACGUGCCAGCCGCCGCAGUAACAC
rnacentral:rRNA from 1 species